rnacentral:misc_RNA from 1 species
GGUCUGGGAAGGCACCUGGGGGUUGUGACUGGGGUCUCAGUGGCCUUCGUCCUGCUGCUGUUCCUCCUCCUCUUCCUCCUCCUCCGACAUCGGCAUCAGAGCAAACACAGGACAUCGGCCCAUUUCUACCGUCCUGCAGGGGCUGCGGGGCCAGAGCCCAAGGACCAGGGCCUGCAGAAGAGGGCCAGCCCAGUUGCUGACAUCCAGGAGGAAAUUCUCAAUGCUGCCGUGAAGGACACACAGCCCAAGGACGGGGUGGAGAUGGAUGCUCGGCAUCGUCACGGUGGACCCCUCCUUGUCCAGCACGCUGCCUCCCGCCUGCUGCGACCUCACUCUCUUCUGCUGUCCUGGGACCUCGUGGGCCUCCUCCCGGGUCCCCUUCCUGCUCCUCAUCCUCUGUUUGGCCGUCUGGUUGUUAGAGCGCUCCCCAGGCCUCAGGAGGAUGAGGAAUAAAUGAACCACCCCGGUC